CCCACUCCCACCCCCACCCUCAUUCUGCCUCAUCCAUUCCUCCUCACUCUCCAGUCUCCACACACAUCUUGCGCGCUGAGCGCCCUAGCAUGAGCUAACCGCCUCUCCCUACGGCGCCCGGUGACCGUCGACGAGCGCCGCGAAAUCCCUUCUAAGCCGCCCCGUGCUGCUCCUCUUUUCUCUUGCUCGGAAAUUCGCCGAGGACGGUAGGGAUGGCGAGCUGCAAGGGGGGCAGCAGAUAGCGGCGGCGCUUUGAGGAUGCCGCCGUCGCCCGGGAGCUCCGCUCCUGCAGGAGCUAGGGCAUCGCCUACGCUGCGCAGCUCGACAAGGCGGCCGCAGAGGAGAAGUUCAACGGCGCGAUGGCUCUGGGACGGGGCGUGGCAGUUUGGGGCGGACGCGACGGCUCCGGGACGGGGCACGGAGGUUUGGUGCGGGAGCGACGGCUCCGGGAUGGGGCACGACGGUUUGGGGCGGGCGCGACGGCUCCAGGACGGGGCACGGCGAUUUGGGGCGGGCGCGACGGCUCCAGGACGGGGCGCGACGGCAGUCUGUGCUCAAGGAGCAGCGCGCCGUGGCCGGCCCGCUCUAGGCCGGGAACCGGGCGAGUCGCCGCGCCGUUGACAGGGCGCUCUUGGGUUCUCCAGGAGCCUGAGGCGACCGAGGCGCCGCCCAAUUUUCGCAACGCGAAGUGCCAGAUGAUAUGGCAGCCGCAAGAUGUUUGCUGGGGUUCAUCUCACUGAUUGCUCUUCCUCGGGGCAUUGUGCUUCACUGCUCCGCCGGUGGAUCUGCCAAGCUUCACAAAGCCAAGCUGUGACGAGAUGAGCAUCAUCCUCGCCUAUGUCCGAUUGUUGGGAUUCCUCCAAGCUAAGGUAAUUAUUUGUGUUCCUCAACUGUUUGAUGAAAUGCUUAAAGAAGAAGCUACAACUUGAGUUUUGGGAAUUUGUGUUUCUUACUAACAGAGGACAGCCGAUCAUUAAUUUGUAGGUUAUAUGUAUUAAUCCACUGAAACUGGUCUAAAACAAACAAACAAAAGUCAAAGUCCUUUAGCAUGGGACCUGCUAGUGAAAUUUGCCAUAUACCCAUUUUUGAUAGUAGCAUGGCAAGUAUGUACAUCAUGGCGCUUUUAGCCCUUUGCCAACCGAAGAUACUCUUUUAAUCCAUUUUUGCCAUGGCAAAUUUUACUCCAUUUUAUGCCAUGGCAAACUUCUUUAAUUAACAUGUUCAAAAGCAUGCAAACUUGCCAUGGCAAAGUAAUGGAUGUUUAUGGCAAACUUGUUUGGCAAAUUUUACUCCAUUUUUGCCAUGGAAAAAAUACUUUCAUUCACACGGCAAAUUUUAGUUUAAGUUGCCAUGGCAAAUUUUACUUUAAGUUGCCAUGGAAAAUUUAUUGUAAAGAGCAUGGCAAUUUUGUUUUAAAUAUGAUGGCAAAUUUACAUAGCACGGUAAUUAUAUUUAUAUAGCCAUGGCGUUUUUUAAUUUAUUCCAUGGCAAAAGUACUCCAGUUUUGCCAUGGCAACAUUAAUCCAUUUUUUGCCAUGGCAAAAUUUUUACUUCACUUUUGCCAUGGCAAAUUUAACUCUAUUUUUUGCCAUGGCAAAUUUUAGUUUAAGUUGCCAUUGCAAAAUUUAUUUUAAGUUGCCAUGGCAAUUUUAAUUUAAAUAUUAUGGCAAAAUUACAUUUUAUAGAACAUGGCAAAUUUUACUAUGUAGCAUCUUAAAUAUGCUUGUGUAACCAUGACAAUUUUUAAUUUAUUUCCAUGGCAAAAGUACUACAUUUUUGGCAUGGCAAAAAUUAAACCAUUUUUGCCAUGACAAAUUUCACUCCAUUUUAUGCCAUGGCAAACUUCUUUAAUUAACAUGUUCAAAAACAUGCAAACUUGCCAUGGCAAAGUUAUAGAUGUUUAAAAAUAUGGCAAACUUUGUAGAUGUUCACAAAUAUGGCAAAUUUGCAAUGGCAUUUUAAAAUGUUCAAAAACAUGACAAACAAAUGAUGUUCAAAAACAUGGCAAACUUGCUAUGGCAACUAAUGAUGUUCAAAAACAUGGCAACCUAAGAUGUUCAAAAAUAUGGCAAACUUGCCAUGGCAACUAAAAUCAGUAUUGUUUAUAAAUGUGUUUUUUUCGAUGGCAACUAAAUGCAUUUUUUGCCAUGGUUCAUUGUGUCUUUUUGCCACGUCCACCCGAAGAAUGUUUGUCAUGACCAUUACAAAUUAGUUUGAGAACACGGCAAGUUUGUUCUUUCAAAAUUGUUUUUUCCAUGGCAAAAAGUUUUGAUUCUUUGAAAUUUGUUUUGCCAUGGGGAUUACAUGUACGAUAUCAUUACAACUUAAAAAUGUUUUCUCCAUUUUUUUUGAAAAAAUUCUAUGUGUCUAGAGAGAAUUUUUUCACCAUAUCACUUCAUGGAAAAAAAAUUCCUUUUUUUGUAAACUUUCGUAGUGAUGGCAACUUUUCGUACUGUAGAAAUGCAGGUUGCCAUGACUUCUUCCUUUUUUGCGCCAUUUUUGAAAACAUAAAGGUGAACAUGGCAAUUUCUUUCAUAGAAUGGCAAAAGUCCAUGGCAAUUUUGUCGUACAAAAGACCGGUGUUUAUUAGUCGCAGAAAAACUGGGCUUUUUACUAGUCAUACACGGGCUUUAUUUUUCGUUUUUCUUUUCACAAGGAAAAAGGCCUGUAGGGCCUAGUGGGUGAGGCGUUCGGGCUGGGGCGUUCUCGUCCCGAACAAGUUGUUCGAUCGAUGCCCCUUUCCAUCCCGAACGAAACGUUCGGUCUGGACCGAACGGUCGGUCAUUAUCGAUGUCCUUGGUUUUUACGUGUUGUGACUGCCAAGGCGACGCGCGGACACGGAAGGAGGAGGGCUCACGGCCGGUCGGUGCCGAGAGUUCGACACUUCCACUGCUUGGGAUCAGGCUCAGGAUCGUUGACAGGGUUUCGUUCGCUGCGGUCCACGGAGGGUCGAACGGCCAAAAUGCUCCGGAUGCUAACGUGCACAAGAACGCAGUGUGUCACUAUCUCUACCUAAUUUUGUUUUAUUUUAUUUUUAUUUUAUCUAUAUUAUAUCUAUAUCUAUACCGACUAAUAAAAAGACGGAGGAGUGUUCCCAUCGACUACAAAGAUGUCUGUGACGACUUUGUCAAUCUUAAUAUGAUUAAUAUGGUGUGCCGGCUCAGUCUCUCAAAUGUCUCAUACGGAUAGGAUAUGCGUGCGUGUGUUGUGUGUCUAUGUAUGUAUGAGUGUCUGCGUCUAUAUUGUAUUAAAAAUUUAACCAAAUAAUAAAAAGAGAUGUGUUUCUCUGGGUUUUUUUAUCCCUCCACCCAUGUAUAUAAUGAUUCGUCUGUCCCCAUAAAAAUUUCGUCCAUAGCUAUUCAAAAUGGUAAAAUUGUAUUACCUCCGUUCUAAAUUAAUUUCCGUCCAUAGCUAUACAUGUUAAUGUUGUACUAAAAUGUUGGAGGGCAGAGAUCAUAUCCUGAUUCUCCCAGAUUAAUAGCCAAGACAACAACCAAUAGGCCAACUCAUCCUACUGCCAAUUAGGAAAAAAAAAGUAUAUGGCCAUUUUUUUAGUACAACAUUAACAUGUAUGGUAUAUACCCAGCUUAUUAUGCGUAUUAUAUUAUGAUAAAAGUGGAAAAUAAUAAUUUAGAAGUGUGGACCAGGGUGUGCCUGGCGCUGAACAAACUGAGCUAGACCCCGUCUGAUGGGGCAACCUUGUUAGAUUGGUGCAUGGACAAAGAUGGAAGCCACUUGCAUAAGAAGGAUGUUAGGGCGCUUACUAUUUUGGUAACGUGGGAGCUAUGAAAACACCGCAAUGAUAUUGUUUUCGAUGGAGA
rnacentral:rRNA from 1 species